UACGGGGGGGGCAAGCGUUGUUCGGAAUUACUGGGCGUAAAGAGCUCGUAGGCGGCUUGGCAAGUCGGGUGUGAAAACUUCAGGCUCAACCUGGAGCGGCCACUCGAUACUGCUAUGGCUUGAGUCCGGUAGGGGACCACGGAAUUCCUGGUGUAGCGGUGAAAUGCGCAGAUAUCAGGAGGAACACCAGUGGCGAAGGCGGUGGUCUGGGCCGGAACUGACGCUGAGGAGCGAAAGCGUGGGGAGCAAACAGG
rnacentral:rRNA from 1 species